rnacentral:tRNA from 1 species
CGCGGGGUGGAGCAGCUUGGUAGCUCGUCGGGCUCAUAACCCGAAGGCCGUCGGUUCAAAUCCGGCCCCCGCA